rnacentral:lncRNA from 1 species
AAGCUUAGUAAUCGGAUCUCUACAUCUAAGUCAAGUGUAGAGGUUCACAUCAAACGAUGAAGGGAAGGUCAGGAUGCUCAGCAUUACAAAAAAAAAAGAAGAAAAAAAAAGAAGAAGAGCAAUGUGAAAGCUACUUCCGUUCAUGAGCUUAAUUUGGGGGUGUAUAGAAAAUUAAUCGAAAUAGAUGACAAGAGAAGAAGUAUUUGCCCUUUACAAGUCAGCACCC